rnacentral:tRNA from 1 species
UGGACUAUAGCCAAGUUGGUAAGGCAGUGGGUUUUGAUCCCGCGAUGCUCAGGUUCGAGUCCUGAUAGUCCAG